UCAGUCUUGUCACUUGUGACUGAGCCAGGUGGCGUGUCUACAGGGAGUUCCUGUCACAGGCUGCAGCCCUGUCACGGCAAACCCCCACCAAGUGACCCCCGGCGUCUGCCACACAGCAUGUCUGCUGCCUGUCUGACAUUUUAUGGAGCACACCUCUUUGUAAAGUGUCUUGGCACUUUCAUUUACAAGAAACACCCACAAUGUGUAAAGAAGUACAUUCUGGAGAUGCUCAUCCAUCUACAGAACAGAUGAUGACUAGCCUGAGAUAUCCAAAGAAAGAUAAGUGCAAUUGCAAUGUUAUGUUUCUUCAUGUUUAGUCAGCCUACUACUCCCUGUCAUUACAUGUGCAUAUUUACAUCUCCACACCUGUGUAGUAAUGCUGACAUCACCACAUCAAACUAAAGCGGAUGCUAUUGAUGAGGCAGGUUAAGUUAUCCCCUAUUUUACAAACCAUUUAGAAAGUGUCUGAGCAACAGGGUUACACCAGUACCGUUUUAAGAUAGAAGUAUGAUGCAAAUUAUUAUGCAAUACAAUACGUAUUGGUGGUGCAGGAUGGGGGAGCCCCUCAGCGAGUUUGCAUGUUCUCCCAAUGUCAACG